CGGCCAAUGCGCAGGCGCCUCCACUCGGGAGCGGCCCGGACUACAAGGCCCAGCAGGCCUUGCGCGCCAGCCAGCUGCCGGGCCGGGAGAGCUGGGGGCUGGUGAGAGCUGCUGAAGUGGAGUUCUUCCCAGCCCAGAAACUGGUGUUUGUUUGCCAUCAACGUCGUUUCUGCUUUGCUUUGGAGACUAUGAAGAGCAGCUUGAGACCCCUCAGUGGUUGCUCCUACCUAUUCGGUAUCACGGACAGUGGGGCUGCAGCCCAGUCUUCAGCAGCCGCCUGAGCACUCUGGUCUUCACAGGGAACCGCUGCAUAGGCACAGAGGGCGCCUGGAAUCCCUCCGACCAGUCCGCAACCUCAGACAGCAGUAGCCGUGGCGGUAAGUGCAGGAGCGGGCCAGCCAUCCGCCCUGCUGUCCCUCCUUGGUCACAGUCCUCUCAGCAGUGGUCUGCUCUUCCUCGCGAGUCUCUUCAGGAUCUCUGAAGAAGCAGCGAUCAGGCAUGACCGCCAUCAGUGGUCACAGGUGAUACCAGGGGGCUUCCUGCUGCAAGGAACUUGGUGAACUCCUCCUCCUCCUUCAUGUGUGGGACAUCGAGGGCUAAGACACUGUGACAGCUUCCCUUUAAGUUAGUUACGCUGGGAAUCCAGAACACCACCUGGAUCCCUCACUGGGUAGCAAGGAAAGGCAUGGAGGGUUGUCAAAACCUCAGAUCAUUAGGUGUCAUACCCAGAAUUUUAAGCAGUUUUUGAUUUAUUUGAUUUUUUCACAUUUUAUUUGAUAGGUAGAGAGACAGAGAUCUUCCAUUCCACUCCCAAGCCAGCAACAGCUGCAGCUGGGCCAGGCCAAAGCCAAGAGCCAGGAAUUCCAUCCAGGUCUCCCACGUAGGUGGCAGGGGCCCAAGUACUUGCACCAACACCUGCUGCCUCCCAAGGUGUGCAUUAGCAGGAAGCUGGACUCUGAAGCAGACCCAGAACCCAAACCCAUGCACUCUGGUAUGGGACGUGAGCAUCCCAAGUAGUGUCUUCACUGCUUCACCAAACAGUGAAACAGUCUGCCAAGACCCUCAGAAUUUCUGAGCCAGGAAGUUCUGGGAGCAGGCCCAAGAAUUAACAUUUCUAAGUUCUUAGAUGCUGCUCAUGACCAGGGUCCCUGCUUUGAAAACCACUGGACUACACUAUGCUGCCCUUCUUGCUAAUGCCAAAAGAGUAAAUGGCUCUAAUCUGGGAGGCAGGAUAGCAGGAAUUAAUAAUGUAGGCUUCAGAGGCAUACCAAUGAAAGAUCAAGUCCUUAUUUUGUCAAUAACUUGCUUUGAGGGUCUUAGGCACAGUCAUAUGAACCUCAAAAUCCAAAUCUCUAAAUGGGAAUAACAGAUCCUACCUUCUUGGUUUAUGUGAAGAGUCCAGGCGGUCCAGGGUAAGUAGGUGGUUCUCCAAGGAGAAGCUGAGUGGGUAGAGCCGGGAAUACCGGCCCGGCCAUUUCCUCUUUCUCUCAUGCUGUGUAGCUCUACUCCCAGGUUCCCGGAGCCAGAACAGCCCAGUCGUGGCUUGGUCAGAGUGCGGAAACAGUGCCUGAAAAUGCCUCCCGCCACCUUCACCCUCCUGGACUAGGACAUCCAGGCAGAAGAAGUCCUGAGAAGCUGUGUGUAAAGGAGAGAAGAUACUGGACCUGGCUUUGGAGAGCCUGAGAUCUGAAUCCAAAGAGAUCACUUAGGACCUGAGGCUGGGGCUCCAUUAUUUGCCCUCUUUGAAACUAU